GUGUCAGCAGCCGCGGUAAUACGAAGGGGGCUAGCGUUGUUCGGAAUUACUGGGCGUAAAGCGUAUGCAGGCGGAUCAUUAAGUCGGGGGUGAAAUCCCGAGGCUCAACCUCGGAACUGCCUUCGAUACUGAUGAUCUUGAGUCCGGGAGAGGUGAGUGGAACUGCGAGUGUAGAGGUGAAAUUCGUAGAUAUUCGCAAGAACACCAGUGGCGAAGGCGGCUCACUGGCCCGGUACUGACGCUGAGAUACGAAAGCGUGGGGAGCAAACAGGAUUAGAUACCCUCGUAGUCC
rnacentral:rRNA from 1 species